rnacentral:rRNA from 1 species
GUGUCCUACGGGAGGCAGCAGUGAGGGAUAUUGGUCAAUGGGGGAAACCCUGAACCAGCAACGCCGCGUGAGGGAAGACGGUUUUCGGAUUGUAAACCUCUGUCCUCUGUGAAGAUAAUGACGGUAGCAGAGGAGGAAGCGCCGGCUAACUACGUGCCAGCAGCCGCGGUAAUACGUAGGGAGCGAGCGUUGUCCGGAUUUACUGGGUGUAAAGGGUGCGCAGGCGGAAUGUCAAGUCAGCGGUAAAAUUUCGGAGCUCAACCCCGUCGUGCCGUUGAAACUGGCGUUCUUGAGUGAGCGAGAAG